UACGUAGGGUGCGAGCGUUAAUCGGAAUUACUGGGCGUAAAGCGUGCGCAGGCGGUGAGCUGUGUCCGAUGUGAAAGCCCCCGGGCUUAACCUGGGAAUGGCAUUGGUGACUGCACGGCUAGAGUGUGUCAGAGGGGGGGUAGAAUUCCACGUGUAGCAGUGAAAUGCGUAGAGAUGUGGAGGAAUACCGAUGGCGAAGGCAGCCCCCUGGGAUAACACUGACGCUCAUGCACGAAAGCGUGGGGAGCAAACAGG
rnacentral:rRNA from 1 species